UACAGAGGGUGCAAGCGUUGUUCGGAAUUAUUGGGCGUAAAGGGAGUGUAGGCUGUGAGGUAAGUCUUCUGUGAAAUCUACGGGCUUAGCCUGUAACGUGCAGAGGAAACUGCUUCGCUUGAGUGUCGGAGAGGAUAGGGGAAUACCCAGUGUAGAGGUGAAAUUCGUAGAGAUUGGGUGGAACACCAGUGGCGAAGGCGCCUAUCUGGCUGACAACUGACGCUGAGACUCGAAAGCAUGGGGAGCAAACAGG
rnacentral:rRNA from 1 species